AGGCACCGCCGCAAUCAUCUUAAAAUCCGCGGGGUCCCCCCGGAGAUCGACGCAGAGGAAUUACCUCACUAUAUAAGAAGGCUAAUUGCCUCACUGUUGCCAUCAACACUAGCCAAGAAAUUCACUAUAAAUGGACUGUACCGACUGCCCACCAUCACCAAAACGGCAACCCCAAUCACUGGCGACGUCAUUCUUCGUUGCUGUACACCACAAGAUAAGGGCCAGAUCAUGGCAGCUGUGAGGGGAAAAACCCCAUUACCAUUCGAAGAUUCACACCUAUCCUUCUACCAAGACCUCACUGAAACUACCCUUCAAUGGCGUAAAUCACUGCAGCCUCUCACCAGCCGUCUGUGUUCCGCAGGGAUAACGUACAGAUAGGGCGCGCCAAGAUCCCUACUAAUCACACACAACGGGACGACCCACAAG